rnacentral:lncRNA from 1 species
GAUACAACCACACAAUAUUCCUCACAUUUAAUUCAAUUAAUCACAGCCUAAUUUUACAUAAUAGAAUAUUAACUUCUCCAGUAAAUCAGGCGACUAAUUAAUUAAAUAAUUAAAUUAUUUAAUUAUAUCUAACAAUUAAUAUAUCAAAUAUUUUCUAACAAUUUUAAAAUAAUUUUCAAAGUCUACAUAAUAUUAUAUCGAGUCAAAAUCCGAACUUCCGCAUGGUUCGGAAAACACCGGUAUCUGAAAGCCGGUACCGCCUACGGUGUUGGAUUUCGAAUCGAGAGAUGGCUACGCAUUGCAGGGAGUUCAAAAACACCAAAAUCACAGCCUAACUGUUGCCAAAAAAGCUAGAUCAUGGAGGAGGAAAAUCGGCUCCGGUAAGGCUAUACGAAGGCUACCGGCGGAGAAAAACGACUAGGAGGGGCUGCCUUAGGGUUGUCGAUGGUGGGGAGCUCGUUCCUGGUGUCGGAUAGGCGAAAGGGCGGCGGCAGGAGGUCAAACCGGUGAUGGCAAUGUAGGAGGCGGCUUCUCCUCCUUGCUGCGACGAGGGAACAGCGAGAGAAAGGGGAAAAGGACGCGCCAUCGAGAAUAGGAAGGAGGAGGGAAGUCGGGUGGCUGGUGGCAGUGGGAUUGUGGUCAGAAAUGGAAGGGAGUGAGGGAGAAGGGAGAAAAGGGUGACGGGCGAGAAAGAAGAAGAAAGGGAGAGGAAAAAGAAUUUUGUUAUAUUUUUUUUAAUAAAAAAAAAAAAUACAAAUGAAUUCUCCCUGCUACAAG